AUUGCUUCUCGGCCUUUUGGCUAAGAUCAAGUGUAGUAUCUGUUCUUAUCAGUUUAAAAUGGCUGGUACAAGUAGCUUUGAUAGCAUCUUACCAGGAACACUGACUCCUGGAUUGGGAUUACCAAGUACUAGGUCUCCUGAGCCAUCGUAAGAGCAGGUGUUGUUUAUCUAGCGCAGGAGUCCUCAA